GCAGCAGUGGGGAAUAUUGCACAAUGGGCGAAAGCGUGAUGCAGCCAUGCCGCGUGUGUGAAGAAGGCCUUCGGGUUGUAAAGCACUUUCAGCGAGGAGGAAAGGUUAGUGAUUAAUACUCACUAGCUGUGACGUUACUCGCAGAAGAAGCACCGGCUAACUUCGUGCCAGCAGCCGCGGUAAUACGAGGGGUGCAAGCGUUAAUCGGAAUUACUGGGCGUAAAGCGUACGCAGGCGGUUUGUUAAGCGAGAUGUGAAAGCCCCGGGCUCAACCUGGGAACUGCAUUUCGAACUGGCAAACUAGAGUCUUGUAGAGGGGGGUAGAAUUUCAGGUGUAGCGGUGAAAUGCGUAGAGAUCUGAAGGAAUACCGGUGGCGAAGGCGGCCCCCUGGACAAAGACUGACGCUCAGGUACGAAAGCGUGGGGAGCAAACAGGAUUAGAUACCCUGGUAGUCCACGCCGUAAACGAUGUCUACUCGGAAUUUGGUGUCUUGAACACUGGGUUCUCAAGCUAACGCAUUAAGUAGACCGCCUGGGGAGUACGGCCGCAAGGUUAAAACUCAAAUGAAUUGACGGGGGCCCGCACAAGCGGUGGAGCAUGUGGUUUAAUUCGAUGCAACGCGAAGAACCUUACCUACUCUUGACAUCCUCAGA
rnacentral:rRNA from 1 species